rnacentral:rRNA from 1 species
AACGAACGCUGGCGGCAUGCCUAACACAUGCAAGUCGAACGAGACCUUCGGGUCUAGUGGCGCACGGGUGCGUAACGCGUGGGAACCUGCCCUUAGGUUCGGAAUAACUCCCCGAAAGGGGUGCUAAUACCGGAUAAUGUCUUCGGACCAAAGAUUUAUCGCCUUUGGAUGGGCCCGCGUUGGAUUAGCUAGUUGGUAGGGUAAAAGCCUACCAAGGCGACGAUCCAUAGCUGGUCUGAGAGGAUGAUCAGCCACACUGGGACUGAGACACGGCCCAGACUCCUACGGGAGGAAGCAGUGGGGAAUAUUGGACAAUGGGCGAAAGCCUGAUCCAGCAAUGCCGCGUGAGUGAUGAAGGCGUUAGGGUUGUAAAGCUCUUUUACCCGGGAUGAUAAUGACAGUACCGGGAGAAUAAGCUCCGGCUAACUCCGUG